CAGUAGCCGCGGGAAAACGAAGGGGGCUAGCGUUGCUCGGAAUUACUGGGCGUAAAGGGAGCGUAGGCGGAUCGUUAAGUUGGGGGUGAAAGCCCGGGGCUCAACCUCGGAAUUGCCUUCAAUACUGGCGAUCUUGAGUAUGGAAGAGGUAUGUGGAACUCCGAGUGUAGAGGUGAAAUUCGUAGAUAUUGGGAAGAACACCGGUGGCGAAGGCGGCGACCUGGUCCUUGACUGACGCUGAGGCGCGAAAGCGUGGGGAGCAAACAGGAUUAGAUACCCCCGUAGUCCCUGUCUCUUAUAC
rnacentral:rRNA from 1 species